CCUACGGGUGGCUGCAGUGGGGAAUAUUGGACAAUGGGCGAAAGCCUGAUCCAGCCAUGCCGCGUGUGUGAAGAAGGCCUUCGGGUUGUAAAGCACUUUCAGUGGGGAAGAAAGCCUUGGGGCUAAUACCCUCGAGGAAGGACAUCACCCACAGAAGAAGCACCGGCUAACUCCGUGCCAGCAGCCGCGGUAAUACGGAGGGUGCGAGCGUUAAUCGGAAUUACUGGGCGUAAAGCGCGCGUAGGCGGUCUGAUAAGCCGGUUGUGAAAGCCCCGGGCUCAACCUGGGAACGGCAUCCGGAACUGUCGAGCUAGAGUGCAGGAGAGGAAGGUAGAAUUCCCGGUGUAGCGGUGAAAUGCGUAGAGAUCGGGAGGAAUACCAGUGGCGAAGGCGGCCUUCUGGACUGACACUGACGCUGAGGUGCGAAAGCGUGGGUAGCAAACAGGAUUAGAUACCCGAGUAGUC
rnacentral:rRNA from 1 species